CCAAAGUGGAAGAAGACCCCCCUGAUGUAUAGGCCCGGAGCAGGGCUACUGACCACAGCCUACCAAGGACUCGGAGGAGCCCUCAUCCUGCUGUGUUGCUUCCUUCAAAGCUGGACCUCUCGGCAGCACAAGGUGCUAGCCAGGCAGGAUUUGGCCACCUUGCUCUGGAAGGAAUUGCAAGAGAGUGUGCUGCACCUUCAUCACAUGGCAGGGAAGCAAGGGCACCUGGAGGAAAGCAGAGGAGGAAAGGGCCGUUUGCUGCUGCAGCAGGGGACAGCCUCAGUGGAUCCCAGUGGAUCAAAGAGGAUCUGCCUCUGCAGUUUGCAGCUGCUUUGCCGAUGAGAGCUCCUUGAGAGACCCCAGCAGCAGUCUGUUGAACCUCAGCCCCUCUGUCUAUUCAGCUGCGAGGUUGGCCUGCAGGAGUGGUGGCAGGGAGCGGGGUGGAGUCGCAGCUCUAUCAAGAAAGCAGGAACUGGCUGAGUUUGCAGAGUCUGAACGAUGAAGCAGGUGUCUACACGCUCUGGAGCCUGUCCUCAGCUGGCUUGAGCUGUAUCAACCCCAGCAGCAGCAAGCCGGGCUCACCUGGGAGCUUAGAUGGACUUUGGGUACCACUGCCAGCUGGAUCGUCCCCUACCACGCAACUGGAAGACACUGGCUCAAGAGGUUACACUCAAGAAGUGAUUUGUUAAUUAAUCACUGCUGACUCCUGGAACACAGGGAAUGGAGCCCAUGUUCUGUUAGCACAGUGCCUGGAACUGAGGAUUGCAGGAACGCUAGAUAACACCCUAUCUUGUGUAUCUCGGGCUGUUCCAUAUGUCUAAUAGGAAAGUCAAAUGGCUUUAGUACAAACUCUUGCCUUCUGUGAAUGAGAAGAGAGGAGGAGCUCGGCCAACCUGCCUUAACUUCCCUCCAGGUGUGAUGCCAGCUGUGAGUGUUUCUUUGGCAGUGUCUUAGCUGGUUGUUGUGAACAAUAGUCAAGGAAGCAAUCAGCAAGUAUACUGCCCUAGAAGUGCUACACAUUGUUGGGCCUGCCUCAUCUCCCUGGCUCGAGAGGUGGAUGGGGAUCCAGGUUGGGAUGCUGCCCUGUGUUGCACUGGAGCUUGAAGUGUCUGCUGGAGCAGAGGGCCAGUGGCAGAAAUGCCACAGGAUGCUUGAUGAUGUGAUCAUUGCAUCGGAGGUGAGAGGAAGAGAAAAGAAGACAAAUGUGUUGCAAGUUGCUUUGCUCUUUCUUGUCCUUCCUGCAUGCAUCUUUCUGAGAGUAAAAUAGCUAUUGUAGUAACACUGCAAAAAUGCACCACUGGGUAUUGGGAGAAGGGCCUGCUCAUAGGAAGAAUUCAUCCAAGCCCCAGUCUCUGGCUGGCAAUGACAAGCUAACCUGGCUUUGAACUUGGAAUGGGAGCAACUCGCCUGUAGUCACUGUUUCUCUUGGGUGCUGGUCAGCAGCUAAGCAUUGCAAAUACACGGAGUCAGGUGCCCAAACACUUGGCUGAAUUCCUGGGAAAGAAUUAGAUUUUAAUUAUGCAAUGAGACUUCUUACCUUGUCUGGCUAAAAGGGGUUCCUCCUAAAUAAGAGGUGUUUCUAGAAAGGACAAAUCCGCAAUAUGGGGACAAAUCACCCCAACCUUGGAAGAAGGGAAGUCCUUGCCUACAUCUAGUUUAAUUUUCCAAUACUCACACAGAGGACAAGAGCUUACAUCAAUUUUGAUCAAACCAAGUUGCUUCUGGUUUUAUCUCUAUUGCUCUCGCUGACUUGACGUAAACUGGGUGUCAUA